GACAGAGGGUACGAACGUUGUUCGGAAUUACUGGGCGUAAAGGGCUCGUAGGCGGCCAACUAAGUCAGACGUGAAAUCCCUCGGCUUAACCGGGGAAUUGCGUCUGAUACUGGAUGGCUCGAGUUUGGGAGAGGGAUGCGGAAUUCCAGGUGUAGCGGUGAAAUGCGUAGAUAUCUGGAGGAACACCGGUGGCGAAGGCGGCAUCCUGGACCAAUACUGACGCUGAGGAGCGAAAGCCAGGGGAGCAAACGGG
rnacentral:rRNA from 1 species